AGAAUGAACGCUAGCGAUAUGCUUAACACAUGCAAGUUGAACGUUGUUUUCGAAUCAGAAUGAGAACAAAGUAGCGAACGGGUGCGUAACACGUGGGAAUCUGCCGAACAGUUUGGGCCAAAUCCCGAAUGAAUAAAAGCUAAAAAGCGCUGUUUGAUGAGCCCACGUAGUAUUAGGUAGUUGGUUAGGUAAAAGCUGACCAAGCCUACGAUGCUUAGCUGGUCUUUUCGGAUGAUCAGCCACACUGGGACUGAGACACGGCCCAGACUCCUACGGGAGGCAGCAGUGGGGAAUCUUGGACAAUGGGCGAAAGCCUGAUCCGGCAAUAUGGCGUGAGUGAAGAAGGGCAACGCAGCUUGUAAAGCUCUUUCAUCGAGUGUGCGAUUGUGACAAGACUCGAAUAAGAACGCCCCGGCUAACUCCGUGCCAGCAGCCGC
rnacentral:rRNA from 1 species